GCAUGGCUGGUUGGCUACGUUCGGGAGGGAUAACCGCUGAAAGCAUCUAAGCGGGAAGCCUGCUUCGAGAUGAGGACUCCCACCCCCUUGAGGGGUUAAGGCUCCCAGUAGACGACUGGGUUGAUAGGCCGGAUCUGGAAGCACCGUGAGGUGUGGAGGUGACCGGUACUAAUAGGCCGAGGGCUUGUCCUCAGUUG
rnacentral:rRNA from 1 species